GGGGCUCAGUGGUUAGAGCACCUGAUUUGCAUGCCGAAGGUCCCAGGUUCAAUCUCUGGCAUUUCCA